rnacentral:rRNA from 1 species
CCUACGGGUGACAGCAGUGGGGAAUAUUGGGCAAUGGGCGCAAGCCUGACCCAGCAACGCCGCGUGAAGGAAGAAGGCUCUCGGGUUGUAAACUUCUUUUAUCAGGGACGAAGCAAGUGACGGUACCUAUGAAUAAGCCACGGCUAACUACGUGCAAGCAGCCGCGGUAAUACGUAGGUGGCAAGCGUUAUCCGGAUUUACUGGGUGUAAGGGGCGUGUAGGCGGGAAAGCAAGUCAGAUGUGAAAGCCCUGGGCUCAACGUGUGGCCUGCAUUUGAAACUGUUUUUCUUGAGUACUGGAGAGGCAGACGGAAUUCCUGGUGUAGCGGUGAAAUGCGUAGAUAUUAGGAGGAACACCAGUGGCGAAGGCAGUCUGCUGGACAGCAACUGACGCUGAGGCGCGAAAGCGUGGGGAGCAAACAGGAUUAGAUACCCUUGUAGUC